AGAUUUUGUUGAAGAUGUGGUAGCAGGACCAUUCGACGAGGAGAUUGUCGAAUCAGUACCAGUAGUACCAAUACUCGAUGGCAUCAUUGUCGAUGUAGAAGUCGUAUCAGUCGUGGACGAGCUAGUAGACGAUGUAGAAACCGUUGAUGACUGAGUAGUAGCAGGUUCGUGGCUAGAGGAUGUCGUUGAAGAAGGAUUUUCGGUAGAUGAUGUUAAAGGUGUAGUCGAAUCAGGUUUGCUGAUUGUGCUAGGCGUUGUUGAUAGCUCGGAGGACAUUGUUGGCCUUGUUACAGUGGACGAUAAUCCAGAUCCAUCCGUCGAGGAUGUUGUUGAAGACGUUGUAUCUGGUUUAUGCGAGGACGAGGUGGUUUUCGUCUCUAUAUCAGUGGUACCACUACUUGAUGACAUCAUUGUCGAUGUAGAAGUCGUAUCAGUCGUGGACGAGCUAGUAGACGAUGUAGAAACCGUUGAUGAGUGAGUAGAAGCAGGUUCGUGGUUAGAGGAUGUUGUUGAAGAAGGAUUUUCCGUAGAUGUGGUAGUAGAUGAUGUUAAAGGUGUAGUCGAAUCAGGUUUGCUGAUUGUGCUAGUUGUUGUUGAAAGCUCAGAGGACAUUGUUGGCCUUGUUACAGUGAACGAUAAUCCAGAUCCAUCCGUCGAGGAUGUUGUUGAAGACGUUGUAUCAGGUUUAUGCGAGGACGAGGUUGUUUUCGUAUCUGUAUCAGUGGUACCACUACUUGAUGACAUCAUUGUCGAUGUAGCAGUCGUAUCAAUCGAGGACGAGCUAGUAGACGAUGUAGAAACCGUUGAUGAGUGAGUAGAAGCAGGUUCGUGGCUAGAGGAUGUUGUUGAAGAAGGAUUUUCCGUAGAUGUGGUAGUAGAUGAUGUUAAAGGUGUAGUCGAAUCAGGUUUGCUGAGUGGGCUAGUUGUUGUUGAAAGCUCAGAGGACGUUGUUGGCCUUGUUACAGUGGACGAUAAUCCAGAUCCAUCCGUCGAGGAUGUUGUUGAAGACGUUGUAUCAGGUUUAUGCGAGGACGAGGUGGUUUUCGUCUCUAUAUCAGUGGUACCACUACUUGAUGACAUCAUUGUCGAUGUAGAAGUCGUAUCAGUCGUGGACGAGCUAGUAGACGAUGUAGAAACCGUUGAUGAGUGAGUAGAAGCAGGUUCGUGGUUAGAGGAUGUUGUUGAAGAAGGAUUUUCCGUAGAUGUGGUAGUAGAUGAUGUUAAAGGUGUAGUCGAAUCAGGUUUGCUGAGUGGGCUAGUUGUUGUUGAAAGCUCAGAGGACGUUGUUGGCCUUGUUACAGUGGACGAUAAUCCAGAUCCAUCCGUCGAGGAUGUUGUUGAAGACGUUGUAUCUGGUUUAUGCGAGGACGAGGUUGUUUUCGUAUCUGUAUCAGUGGUACCACUACUUGAUGACAUCAUUGUCGAUGUAGCAGUCGUAUCAAUCGAGGACGAGCUAGUAGACGAUGUAGAAACCGUUGAUGAGUGAGUAGAAGCAGGUUCGUGGUUAGAGGAUGUUGUUGAAGAAGGAUUUUCCGUAGAUGUGGUAGUAGAUGAUGUUAAAGGUGUAGUCGAAUCAGGUUGGCUAAUUGUGCUAGUUGUUGUUGAAAGCUCAGAGGACAUUGUUGGCCUUGUUCCGGUGGAUCCAGGAGGUUGGGAAGAAGUUGUUGGAAACUUCGUAGUGGAAGUGGGUGUCGUAGCAGCAGUCGAAGAAUGCUGUGACAUUGUUGGCCGAGUAGUUGGGGUGUUUGAAGUGGAUGAUGUUGACGGUUUAGAUGAAACGGUUGAAGGGACCUGUGUGCAUGUAUUUCCAUUCGAAGCUGUCACUGUUGGCAUUCCGGUCGACGAAGAAGGAGGCGCACAUUUGAUCACCAAUUCCGCAUUGCCUCCUAUUAUGAAUGCUCUUUUUAUAUCAUUUAACUCGACUGUAACGAAUUGCUGUCCGAUACCGCCCUGUACAAUUUGUGCUUUAAGCUCACUUGCGUAUCGGUGUGGUGGAGAUUCAACGCUAAUGAACCGUAUCGGAUUGGGCAAAGGCUGUAAAUCACAGUUUUUAUCAGGUUUGAGACAAAUAUUUUUCCACUUGGCACUAUCAGCUUACAUGUUGUUACUCACAUUGUGAAACGAAAACGAAAAAGGAUUCCUGGUACCCUUAAGAAUACGCCGCUUGUAACAAAUUUCCAACGAAGCAUCGGGUGCACCGAAUGCAAUGAUAUUCGCAUUUACACAACCACAAUGAACGAGCAAUAGCACUAACAACGAUGCGUUCUGCAUCUUUACGCAGAUCUGACACUGUGAGCGGCACAUUAACGACUGAAAGAACAUUAUUUCGGAAGUAACAGUAACGGGGUGCCUGCUAUUAUGCUGCUCUCCGAGAACCGGUUCUCAAUCUGCGUAAUCAUGCCCGAAAAUUGUUUUGCAAGGAAUAACGGCAUUCCCGGUUGCAACGAGAGAAAGCACUGGCCUUAUUUCGGGGAUUUUGCUACAGAUACCGUUGCAUGGCCGUGCAGUUGCAUUUCUGUCACGAACCGGUUUGCUCGGCGUCUGAUGCAAUGUGUCCAAACAGUCGCCUUUCACUUUUCAGGAUCAUGGCCAGAGCGCUGGACGAUUGCUGGUCAAGGUUGCGCGUGCAACACAACAAAUCAUUACUGAUUGCGUGUUUAUGUUUUACGAGCAGGUUUUUUAAUACGCCAUUUUCUUUUACUUUCUU